AUUGAACGCUGGCGGCAGGCCUAACACAUGCAAGUCGAGCGGAUGAAGGGAGCUUGCUCCUGGAUUCAGCGGCGGACGGGUGAGUAAUGCCUAGGAAUCUGCCUGGUAGUGGGGGAUAACGUCCGGAAACGGGCGCUAAUACCGCAUACGUCCUGAGGGAGAAAGUGGGGGAUCUUCGGACCUCACGCUAUCAGAUGAGCCUAGGUCGGAUUGGCUAGUUGGUGGGGUAAAGGCCUACCAAGGCGACGAUCCGUAACUGGUCUGAGAGGAUGAUCAGUCACACUGGAACUGAGACACGGUCCAGACUCCUACGGGAGGCAGCAGUGGGGAAUAUUGGACAAUGGGCGAAAGCCUGAUCCAGCCAUGCCGCGUGUGUGAAGAAGGUCUUCGGAUUGUAAAGCACCUUAAGUUGGGAGGAAGGGCAGUAAGUUAAUACCUUGCUGUUUUGACGUUACCAACAGAAUAAGCACCGGCUAACUUCGUG
rnacentral:rRNA from 1 species